rnacentral:rRNA from 1 species
CCGGCGACCGGCGGACGGGUGCGUAACGCGUAUGUAACCUACCUUUGACAGGGGGAUAACAUCGAGAAAUUGGUACUAAUACCCCAUAACAUCACCGGAGGCAUCUUCGGUGGUUGAAAACUCAGGUGGUCAGAGAUGGACAUGCGUUGUAUUAGCUAGUUGGUAAGGUAACGGCUCACCAAGGCGACGAUACAUAGGGGGACUGAGAGGUCAACCCCCCACAUUGGUACUGAGACACGGACCAAACUCCUACGGAAGGCAGCAG